rnacentral:rRNA from 1 species
AUUGAACGCUGGCGGCAUGCCUUACACAUGCCAGUCGAACGGUAACAGGUCUUCGGAUGCUGACGAGUGGCGAACGGGUGAGUAAUACAUCGGAACGUGCCCGAUCGUGGGGGAUAACGAAGCGAAAGCUUUGCUAAUACCGCAUAGGAUCUACGGAUGAAAGCAGGGGACCGCAAGGCCUUGCGCGAACGGAGCGGCCGAUGGCAGAUUAGGUAGUUGGUGGGAUAAAAGCUUACCAAGCCGACGAUCUGUAGCUGGUCUGAGAGGACGACCAGCCACACUGGGACUGAGACACGGCCCAGACUCCUACGGGAGGCAGCAGUGGGGAAUUUUGGACAAUGGGCGAAAGCCUGAUCCAGCCAUGCCGCGUGCAGGAUGAAGGCCUUCGGGUUGUAAACUGCUUUUGUACGGAACGAAAAGACUCUGGUUAAUACCUGGGGUCCAUGACGGUACCGUAAGAAUAAGCACCGGCUAACUACGUG